AUUGAACGCUGGCGGCAUGCCUUACACAUGCAAGUCGAACGGUAACGGGCCUUCGGGUGCCGACGAGUGGCGAACGGGUGAGUAAUACAUCGGAACGUGCCCGAUCGUGGGGGAUAACGAGGCGAAAGCUUUGCUAAUACCGCAUACGAUCUACGGAUGAAAGCAGGGGACCGCAAGGCCUUGCGCGGACGGAGCGGCCGAUGGCAGAUUAGGUAGUUGGUGGGAUAAAAGCUUACAAAGCCGACGAUCUGUAGCUGGUCUGAGAGGAUGAUCAGCCACACUGGGACUGAGACACGGCCCAGACUCCUACGGGAGGCAGCAGUGGGGAAUUUUGGACAAUGGGCGCAAGCCUGAUCCAGCCAUGCCGCGUGCAGGAUGAAGGCCUUCGGGUUGUAAACUGCUUUUGUACGGAACGAAAAGCCUUCUUUUAAUACAGGAGGGUCAUGACGGUACCGUAAGAAUAAGCACCGGCUAACUACGUG
rnacentral:rRNA from 1 species